AUUGAACGCUGGCGGCAGGCCUAACACAUGCAAGUCGAGCGGAUGAGAGGAGCUUGCUUCUCGAUUCAGCGGCGGACGGGUGAGUAAUGCCUAGGAAUCUGCCUGGUAGUGGGGGACAACGUUUCGAAAGGAACGCUAAUACCGCAUACGUCCUACGGGAGAAAGCAGGGGACCUUCGGGCCUUGCGCUAUCAGAUGAGCCUAGGUCGGAUUAGCUAGUUGGUGAGGUAACGGCUCACCAAGGCGACGAUCCGUAACUGGUCGGAGAGGGUGAUCGGUCACACUGGAACUGAGACACGGUCCAGACUCCUACGGGAGGCAGCAGUGGGGAAUAUUGGACAAUGGGCGAAAGCCUGAUCCAGCCAUGCCGCGGGUGUGAAGAAGGUCUUCGGAUUGUAAAGCACUUUAAGUUGGGAGGAAGGGUUGUAGAUUAAUACUCUGCAAUUUUGACGUUACCGACAGAAUAAGCACCGGCUAACUCUGUGCCAGCCGCCGCGGUAAAAC
rnacentral:rRNA from 1 species